CCAACGAAGGUUAAAAGCGAUAAUAUGAUUGGUCGGUUCCUGAACAGUCAUACCUGGGAUUUGAUUGGCUUAGAGAUAACAACAGGAAAAAACACGCCAUUUGCAGUUUGCCCAAAUAAAUUUAAUAAUAUAUAAUGACAAAACAUUGUGUAUUUGGCACUAUGAAUUUGAUAUGAGAUCAUUUUGAUUGAACAGAAACAAUCACAGUUUAUUACCGAAUACUUGGCUAUGGCGGAAAAUGAAGAACUUCGGUCAAGUUUCGGAUGUCUUACUAUUUUCGUCACGUUUGGAAGGGAAAAAAGAAAAAUCGUCAGCGCAUUCUGGUCAUCAUAUUAUGGAAAUAUUUGUGACUGCAUCCCAUCUGAAUGUUGGAUGACAUAUAUCAAGAUGACACUGAACAGGACAUAACUGAGGAAAAUGGAUGUGAGAGAAUCCAA